rnacentral:rRNA from 1 species
GCUAGGAUGAACGCAGCGACAGGCUUAACACAUGCAAGUCGAGGGGCAGCACGGGAGUAGCAAUACUUGGUGGCGACCGGCGCACGGGUGAGUAACGCGUAUGCAACCUACCUAUCAGAGGGGAAUAACCCGGCGAAAGUCGGACUAAUACCGCAUAAAACAGGGGCACCGCAUGGUGAUAUUUGUUAAAGAAAUUCGCUGAUAGAUGGGCAUGCGUUCCAUUAGGUAGUUGGUGAGGUAACGGCUCACCAAGCCGACGAUGGAUAGGGGAACUGAGAGGUUGGUCCCCCACACUGGUACUGAGACACGGACCAGACUCCUACGGGAGGCAGCAGUGAGGAAUAUUGGUCAAUGGGCGGGAGCCUGAACCAGCCAAGUCGCGUGAAGGAAGAAGGAUCUAUGGUUCGUAAACUUCUUUUGCAGGGGAAUAAAGUGCAGGACGUGUCCUGUUUUAUAUGUACCCUGAGAAUAAGGAUCGGCUAACUCCGUGCCAGCCGCCGC